UGCCAGCAGCCGCGGUAAUACAGAGGGUGCAAACGUUGUUCGGAAUCAUUGGGUUUAAAGGGUGCGUAGGCGGCUUGGAAGGUGGGGUGUGAAAUCCCUCGGCUCAACCGAGGAACUGCGCUCCAAACCAUCAAGCUUGAGUAAGACAGAGGUGAGUGGAACUGAUGGUGGAGCGGUGAAAUGCGUUGAUAUCAUCAGGAACACCGGUGGCGAAAGCGGCUCACUGGAUCUUUUCUGACGCUGAGGAACGAAAGCUAGGGUAGCGAACGGGAUUAGAUA
rnacentral:rRNA from 1 species